CGGUGCCGGCGAGUGGACGAACGGUGAGUAAUAUAUCGGAACGUACCUUCAGGUGGGGAAUAACGUAGCGAAAGUUACGCUAAUACCGCAUAUUCUGUGAGCAGGAAAGCAGGGGAUCGCAAGACCUUGCGCUGAUUGAGCGGCCGAUAUCAGAUUAGCUAGUUGGUGAGGUAAAGGCUCACCAAGGCGACGAUCUGUAGCGGGUCUGAGAGGAUGAUCCGCCACACUGGAACUGAGACACGGUCCAGACUCCUACGGGAGGCAGCAGUGGGGAAUUUUGGACAAUGGGCGCAAGCCUGAUCCAGCCAUGCCGCGUGAGUGAAGAAGGCCUUCGGGUUGUAAAGCUCUUCGGCCGGGAAGAAAUCGCACAGGUUAAUACCCUGUGUGGAUGACGGUACCGGAAUAAGAAGCACCGGCUAACUACGUG
rnacentral:rRNA from 1 species